rnacentral:rRNA from 1 species
UACGGAGGGUGCGAGCGUUGUCCGGAAUCACUGGGCGUAAAGAGCGUGUAGGCGGCCAAACAGGUCAGCUGUGAAAACUCGAGGCUCAACCUCGAGACGUCGGUUGAAACCGUUUGGCUAGAGUCCGGAAGAGGAGAGUGGAAUUCCCGGUGUAGCGGUGAAAUGCGCAGAUAUCGGGAAGAACACCCGUGGCGAAGGCGGCUCUCUGGGACGGUACUGACGCUGAGGAGCGAAAGCGUGGGGAGCGAACAGG